rnacentral:lncRNA from 1 species
GUGCAGCCCUCGCGCACACCCUGCCGUGACCUCGAGGGGAGAGCUUCGGGCUCAAGUGCCCGGCACACGGUAAAGGCUCAAAAGCCCGCACCCAGGAAGAAACAGCAUUGACAGCCAGCUUCCCGAGGCUGAGGUUCUCCUCCCGAGGGGGAGCGGGGUGCCCCUGAGCAUCCCCUCCUCUGCAUCGGCUCUGCCCUUCCACCUGGACACCCUCGUCUGCAUUUCAAAGCGGCGAGGGUGCUGUUGCUUACUCCUGCCCGUCUCUCCUGAACCCGAGCCCACAAGCCUCACAGGAGUGCGGAGCUGGGGCGGUGGGCAGCGGCUCAUCCUCUCCCUUCCUGAGGUCCAGAUGUCUCCUCCAGAGACAGGAGAAAGGAGGAAGCAGGGAGAAGUCCACUCUAACAGAUGCAGGGCAGUGCAGCAUGGUUACCGCCAGUCCUCGGCCAAAGCUGGGCUCCUGGAAGACCCAAAAGGAGCUCGGAAAAUGCAUGUUGUGCAGUUCCCAGGACGACUAGAAGCCAGUGCCAGCACCCAGGCCAUGUGUGGAAGUGGGCGAGUCACACGACGGAGUUGGGCCCUGGUUUCCACGUGUAAAAUGAGGGAGUUCUCAGUGACUCCACCUGAGGAAUUUUACCUCAGCGGUAGCCAGACAAGAUGUCCAGGCGCAGCUGAGGAUUCACCACCCAUUGCUUAGACAGCAACAGCAACGCUGGGAAACCACACAGCGCCCCAUGGUGCUCUGCACAACUAAGCAUUCACACUGGGGCAGUGGCUGUACCUGCACAGGGCUGCCUGCCUGUCUUCCUGUGUGCCUGUCUGUCUUCCUGCCUGCCUGCCUGUCUGUCUCCCUGUCUGUCUACCUGUCUUCCUGUCUUCCUGCCUGUCUUCCUGUCUACCUGUCUUCCCCUGUCUUCCUGCCUGUCUUCCUGGCUGCCUGCCUGUCUGCCUGUCUGUCUGAGGGAAGAAGACAUGGAGAUACUGCACAAGAUAAAAUAAGUUUAAGAAAUAUUUGACAGACUCAUAUGUGUGGUGUAUUUGCAGCUUGCUUACAAACUCCAAUAUGUGAAGAAGACAGAGCUGCAGGAGGGAGACUGAGCACUUGGAGGGAUGGGCACUGAGUAUUCA